CGGGUGAGUAACACGUAGGUAACCUACCCAUGUGCCCGGGAUAACUUCUGGAAACGGAUGCUAAAACCGGAUAGGUAGCAGACAAGCAUUUGACUGCUAUUAAAGUGGCUAAGGCCAUGAACAUGGAUGGACCUGCGGUGCAUUAGCUAGUUGGUGAGGUAACGGCCCACCAAGGCGACGAUGCAUAGCCGGCCUGAGAGGGCGGACGGCCACAUUGGGACUGAGACACGGCCCAAACUCCUACGGGAGGCAGCAUG
rnacentral:rRNA from 1 species